rnacentral:rRNA from 1 species
UCAUUACCGAACUGUCGACACGAGUUGUUGCUGGUCCUCGAAAGGGGUCAAGUGCACGCUCUGUUUACACAUCCACUCACACCUGUGCACCCUCUGUAGUUCUAUGGCCUGGGGGCUCUGUCCUCUUGCUGUGGUCCUACGUCUUUACACACACACACCGUAAUAGAGUCUCAUGGAAUGUAUCUCGCGUUUAACGCAGUAUAAUACAACUUUCAGCAACGGAUCUCUUGGCUCUCGCAUCGAUGAAGAACGCAGCGAAAUGCGAUAAGUAAUGUGAAUUGCAGAAUUCAGUGAAUCAUCGAAUCUUUGAACGCACCUUGCGCCCUUUGGCUAUUCCGAAGGGCAUGCCUGUUUGAGUAUCAUGAACACCUCAACUCUCAUGGUCCACCAUGAUGAGCUUGGACUUUGGGGGUCUUGCUGGCCUAUCACCGGCUCCUCUCAAACGAAUCAGCUUGCCAGUGUUUGGUGGCAUCACAGGUGUGAUAACUAUCUACGCUUGUGUUUUCCCACCAGGUAACCUCCAGCAAUGGGGGUUCGCUGAAGCUCACAAUUGUCUCUCCUC